rnacentral:rRNA from 1 species
UGUGUAGGCGGUUUGCUAAGUCAGUUGUUAAAGAUCACGGCUUAACUGUGGGCAUGCGAUUGAUACUGGCGAACUUGAGGUUGGAAGAGAGGAGUGGAAUUCUCGGAGUAGCGGUAAAAUGCGUAGAUCUCGAGAGGAACACCGAAGGCGAAGGCAGCUCCUUGGUCCAUACCUGACGCUGAGACACGAAAGCGUGGGGAGCAAACAGGAUUAGAUACCCUGGUAGUCCACGCUGUAAACGAUGAUCACUGGAUAUGGGUUCGGGUUACCGAAUCUGUGUCGAAGCUAACGCGUUAAGUGAUCCGCCUGGGAAGUACGGUCGCAAGAUUAAA